CCGCGAAGGCCCAAAUCAGUUUUUUUAUCGAAUUAUUAGUAGUUGCUGAAAUCCCUAAUUUUUCUUUCUUCACAAAAUCCCAAAACCUAUUCGACCAGAACCAAAUCCCUAACCCUAAAUUGGUCCCGACGCCUUCUGCGACGCCGUAUCCGCCACGUGACCCGUGUCAGAGUAGUAGGAGACGCUUCAGUGAAGAAAAGAGUACGGCCAUCCUCUCCAUUUCUUGUUCCACAACACCAAAAGCUGCAAGGUCUGCAAUUUCGUGUUUUUAAAAAGUUUUCCCCUAUUGGAUGUAAUUCUUUGCUCUUGUAUUUCAAACCCUAAAUUCUAGUUUUUGGAAAGCAGAGGGUGUUUCAAGACUCCAGUUUUGGCUUACUCUUAAAAUUCUUCAUAUCCUGUAAUUAUUUUGAUUUCAGAAGCCCCCUUCUUUAUAUGCUUAUUUGUUGCAUGAGUCUUAAGAUGAGCUGAAAGUGUCUAUUCUAGCAUCUUCUAUGUUCUUGCUUAUCUGGUGUUUUGUUCACACAGAUGCAUGAAUUUUGUGUGUGGAGUUUUUCUGACUUUGGGGUAUUUGUGAAUUAGGCACUGGAGCAGAUCAAGUUAAUUUUUCAGCAGCCAAGAAGCAUUCUACCAUGCAAGUCAUAGAGCAAAGCAGAUGUGUUGUGAAGUUUGCUUUAUCAUUUGUUUUGUUGUGCACAGUGGGUGAGGGAGAUGAGAGAUGUUUGAGAGAUCAUGCCAAGUGUUUCAUAUGUGCACAAUAUUUUCAUCAUAACACUAGGAAAUAACUUGAGGGAAACUUUUAACAAAUGGAAUCAAAGGCCAUUCCUAAGUUACAUUGUGUGUGGCGAAAAAAAAAACCUCUUUAAACAGAGGGCGCAAGGAAGUCA
rnacentral:lncRNA from 1 species